rnacentral:tRNA from 1 species
GCCUGGCUGGCUCAGUUGGUAGAGCAUGUAACUCUUGAUCUCAGGGCUGUGAGUUCAAGUCCCAUGUUGGGUG